GAUGAACGCUGGCGGCGUGCCUAAUACAUGCAAGUCGAGCGAACAGACGAGGAGCUUGCUCCUCUGACGUUAGCGGCGGACGGGUGAGUAACACGUGGAUAACCUACCUAUAAGACUGGGAUAACUUCGGGAAACCGGAGCUAAUACCGGAUAAUAUAUUGAACCGCAUGGUUCAAUAGUGAAAGACGGUUUUGCUGUCACUUAUAGAUGGAUCCGCGCCGCAUUAGCUAGUUGGUAAGGUAACGGCUUACCAAGGCAACGAUGCGUAGCCGACCUGAGAGGGUGAUCGGCCACACUGGAACUGAGACACGGUCCAGACUCCUACGGGAGGAAGCAGUAGGGAAUCUUCCGCAAUGGGCGAAAGCUUGACGGAGCAACGCCGCGUGAGUGAUGAAGGUCUUCGGACAGUAAAACUCUGUUAUUAGGGAAGAACAAAUGUGUAAGUAACUAUGCACGUCUUGACGGUACCUAAUCAGAAAGCCACGGCUAACUACGUG
rnacentral:rRNA from 1 species